rnacentral:lncRNA from 1 species
AUACUCAUAUACCUGUUACUUGUGCCAUCAAAAAAUACUUUAAAGGAGAAGGAGCAACCCAUGCUCAGGUGUUCACUUUUAACCAAGUCAGGUGUUUGUUCUUGAGUAAGCAUGACCUGAAUCUUACAAUCUCAGAAGAGGAGGGCCCCACUGGGACCUUCUAGAAAAGACAUGGCCUAGUACAGAUAUGUUCUACAACUGGAAAAAAAUGGUUAUGAUUGAGGCUUAGAAGUGGAGUGCAGUGAAGAAACUUUAGGGAAGCCUGACAACCACACCCUCUGCUGAUCCCUGUGGAAUUUUACAUGGAUAAUGAGUAAAAGACUGUCCUGCCAAUAGAGAAUACAGUGAAACGGUAUGGAACAUACACAGUGGAACAGAGGACACUGAUGGAACAGUGUUUAUAAGCACAAAGUUUGGAAGUACGGAAUCCUAGAUAAAAUCCUGACUGUGGAAUUAACUGCGUGACCUUCGGCAAAUUACUUCAUCUCUUUGAGCCUCAGUGUCUUCACAUAUAAAAUGAGAAUAAUAAAAGC